GAGGUUGCUGCUCAGUAGUAAAGCACCUGCAUUGAAUGCAGAGGGCCCUGGGUUCAAAUCCUAGCAUGUCUCU
rnacentral:tRNA from 1 species